UCAGUACGGCGAGUGAAGCGGCAAAAGCUCAAAUUUGAAACCCUCGGGAUUGUAAUUUGAAGAUUUGGCAUUGGAGAAAGCUAACCCAAGUUGCUUGGAAUAGUACGUCAUAGAGGGUGACAACCCCGUCUGGCUAACCGUUCUCCAUGUAUUGCCUUAUCAAAGAGUCGAGUUGUUUGGGAAUGCAGCUCAAAGUGGGUGGUAAACUCCAUCUAAAGCUAAAUACUGGUGAGAGACCGAUAGCGAACAAGUACUGUGAAGGAAAGGUGAAAAGAACUUUGAAAAGAGAGUGAAAUAGUAUGUGAAAUUGUUGAUAGGGAAGGAAAUGAGUGGAGAGUGGCCGAGGUUUCAGCCGCCCCUCGUGGGCGGUGUACUGCCGACGCCGAGUCAUCGAUAGCGAGACGAGGGUUACAAAUGGGAGCGCCUUSUCUUGGA
rnacentral:rRNA from 1 species